AUACGGAGGAUCCGAGCGUUAUCCGGAUUUAUUGGGUUUAAAGGGAGCGUAGGUGGACAGUUAAGUCAGUUGUGAAAGUUUGCGGCUCAACCGUAAAAUUGCAGUUGAUACUGGCUGUCUUGAGUACAGUAGAGGUGGGCGGAAUUCGUGGUGUAGCGGUGAAAUGCUUAGAUAUCACGAAGAACUCCGAUUGCGAAGGCAGCUCACUGGACUGCAACUGACACUGAUGCUCGAAAGUGUGGGUAUCAAACAGGAUUAGAUACCCUGGUAGUCCACACAGUAAACGAUGAAUACUCGCUGUUUGCGAUAUACAGUAAGCGGCCAAGCGAAAGCAUUAAGUAUUCCACCUGGGGAGUACGCCGGCAACGGUGAAACUUAAAGGAAUUGACGGG
rnacentral:rRNA from 1 species